UAGGGAAUCUUCGGCAAUGGGGGGAACCCUGACCGAGCAACGCCGCGUGAGUGAAGAAGGUUUUCGGAUCGUAAAGCUCUGUUGUUAAGGAAGAACGAGUGUGAGAAUGGAAAGUUCAUACUGUGACGGUACUUAACCAGAAAGGGACGGCUAACUACGUGCCAGCAGCCGCGGUAAUACGUAGGUCCCGAGCGUUGUCCGGAUUUAUUGGGCGUAAAGCGAGCGCAGGCGGUUAGAUAAGUCUGAAGUUAAAGGCAGUGGCUCAACCAUUGUAGGCUUUGGAAACUGUUUAACUUGAGUGCAGAAGGGGAGAGUGGAAUUCCAUGUGGAGCGGUGAAAUGCGAAGAUAUAUGGAGAAACACCGGUGGCGAAAGCGGCUCUCUGGUCUGUAACUGACGCUGAGGCUCGAAAGCGUGGGGAGCGAACAGG
rnacentral:rRNA from 1 species